AAUGGAGUGCCUGAUAAAAGGACUAUUUUGAUAGAGUAGAAUAUGCGCACCACGCCUUCAUUA
rnacentral:tRNA from 1 species